GCAUAGGUAGCACAGUGGAUAGUGUGCUAGACUUGGAAUCAAGACUCAUCUUGACACUUACUGCCUGUGCA
rnacentral:tRNA from 1 species